rnacentral:lncRNA from 1 species
AUACUCUGUUGAUGAGAAUGUAAAGUGGUACAUUUUGGAAAAACAAUUUGGCAGUUUCUGAAAAAAUUAAGCACAUACUACCACAUGACUCAGCGUUUCACUUCUAGGUAUAGUUCCAAAGAAAUUAAAGCAUAGGUCCAAACAAGGACUUGUACAAAAAUAUUCAUAGUAGUUUUAUUUGUGAUGGCACAAAACUGGAAACAACCCAAUGUCCAUAAAUAGGUUAAGGGAUAAACAAAUCACAGGAAUACUUUUCACAAUUUAAAAGCAAUGAUGCCGGGCACAGUGGCUCAUGCCUGUAAUGCUAGCACUUUGGGAGGCCCAGGCGGGCAGAUCAUUUGAGCCCAGGAGUUGGAGACCAGCCUGGGC